GUUAAGUUUAUUUUUCUGUUUUUAGAUACAAUGUUUUGACUUCUCGUUUUAUUUGAAUUUUUUUACAAUUAAUAUUUUGAUUGUUACUAGAUGGUAAAACAUGAAUAAUACUUUAUGUGUGACUAAUUUUUUAAAGUUUUUUUUUACCAAUUUUCAAAUAAAACGAAUGGUUAAAGCGUUAGACACCGAAAUUAAA
rnacentral:pre_miRNA from 1 species